GUUCAUUUUAACCGAGCAGAUUCUGACUUCAGAAGGGAUCUUCUUUACCUCUAUAAUGCCUGGCUCUUAUUACACUGCAAAUACCUGGUACGUCACCACGGCUCUAGCUGCGUUGUCGUCCGUGGCUCAUAUCGGCCAUGUGCUGGUCUGUUACAGGAAGCACAUCAAGAGGCUGUGGGCGGGAAACAGGAGCUUCCUGCCGGAAAAGUACCGCACGCCAAACUCUGCUGAUAGCGUGGGGAGGUGGGGUUUGGAAUUGGUCAGUUAGCUGUUCCCCUGAGACCCAGCCCUGCUCUUGGAGAUCUACCCCCCAUGGCUUCGCCCUGCCCCACUUUGCA